AUGGAGGCCCCGCCCUGCUCUGAGGCAGAGGGGAAAAGACAGGGCUGGUGGCAGGCCCAGUGCUGGGGUCUCAGGAGGCACCGCUCUAGGGACAUCUCCACCACAGCCCGGGCUCUGUUCCUCCUCACCCUCCUCAUUCAGGGCACAGGAUCCUGGGCUCAGUCUGUUCUGACUCAGCCUCACUCAGUGUCCAGGUCUCCUGGACAGUCAGUCACCAUCUCCUGCACUGGAACCAGCAAUGACAUUGGGGGUUAUGACCUUGUCUCCUGGUGCCAGCAGCACCCAGGCACAGCCCCCAAACUCGUGAUUUACCAUGUCAGUAAUUGGCCCUCGAGGGCCCCUGAUCGCUUCUCUGGCUCCAAGUCUGGCAACACGGCCCCCAUGACCAUCGCUGGGCUGCAGGCUGAGAGCAAGGUUGAUUAUUACUGCAGCUCAUAUGCAGGCUGCAACACUUUCCACAGUGGUCCGAGUUCAUGGGGACAGAGCAACAGGAACUGGCUGCUCAGUACCAUUUCUGCAGUUUUCAGUGAAACCCUCACAUUAAAUUCCUCCAUCCCCCUCACUGUGCUGACUGGCCUGGGUCUCUUCCUAAAGCAACAGCAACUGAGAGAAGAGCCGAAGAUGUUGGGAGACUGA